AAUAGAUACCCAGGUAGUCCUAGCCGUAAACUAUGAGCACUGGGUUGGAGGGUCCUCCAUAGCCUUCCAGCCGCAGCGAAAGUGUUAAGUGCUCCGCCUGGGGAGUAUGGUCGCAAGGCUGAAACUCGGAAAGAAAGUUGACGGGGGCUCACACAAGCGGUGGAGGAUGUGGCUUAAUUCGAGGCUACGCGAAGAACCUUAUCCUAGUCUUGACAUGCACGGAUUAACUCCUGGAAACAGGAGCCAGGCCUUCGGGUACAACGUGCACAGGUGCUGCAUGGCUGUCGUCAGCUCGUGCUGUGAAGUGUCGGGUUAAGUCCCUUAACGAGCGAAACCCUUGUCGCUAGUUGCCAGCGAGUAAUGUCGGGGACUCUAGCGAGACCGCCGGCGUUAAGCCGGAGGAAGGCGGGGAUGACGUCAAGUCCUCAUGGCCUUUAUGACUAGGGCUGCACACGUCCUACAAUGGCGCGCACAAAGGGAUGCAAAAUCGCGAGAUCAAGCAAAUCCCAAAAAACGCGCCCCAGUUCGG
rnacentral:rRNA from 1 species